CAAGGAGGCGAUUUUUAUCGCUGAGCUGGAAAUCGCGGGCGCGAGUCGCGUCGUCUGGCCCUGCCCUGCCAUGGCCUGCAAGUCGCCGACGGGGUGAUAAAUCUUUCUAUUAGCCAAAACUGCGGGCCACGCAGGCAGGAGGAGG